rnacentral:lncRNA from 1 species
CAGUGGUCCAUUCGGAAUAUGAAUGGAUGACUGUGAAACUGAGAGUAGAGUUCAUUUGAAACUUUACCUGACCAGGAGGAGUCAGUCCAGAGGUGUUUCUGGCAAGAUGGGGCCCACUGCUGGUUUUAUUGUAGGGUGGCAAGGGAGCUAGGCUCAGGGGCACGCUACUGCCCGGGGCCAGGGCAGGCACUAGGGGUUCCAGGGGCUGGGAGCCCCUGUCCCUAUUGCAGAGGGGACUGGAGGAAGAGAAGCCUUGUUGCCCCCACCAUGGGACUUCUCUGUCCUGAGGCCUCUCACACACAUUGGUUUACCUUUGAAACACUGUACAUUGAGAGCUCUCCUGAGGGUGAGUGUAGACUUGAACCAAGACAAUGUUUUUGAGGACAAGGGAACUUUAAGGAUUUUUUCUGUUUUUUUGUUUCGUUUUGUUUUUUAAUUUUGAGAAAGG